rnacentral:rRNA from 1 species
UACGUAGGGGGCAAGCGUUGUCCGGAAUCAUUGGGCGUAAAGAGCGCGUAGGCGGUCCGGUAAGUCCGCUCUGAAAGUCCGGGGCUCAACCCCGGGAGGCGGGCGGAUACUGUCGGGCUAGAGUCCGGAAGAGGCGAGUGGAAUUUCUGGUGUAGCGGUGAAAUGCGCAGAUAUCAGGAGGAACACCAAUGGCGAAGGCAGCUCGCUGGGACGGUACUGACGCUGAGGCGCGAAAGCGUGGGGAGCAAACAGG